rnacentral:lncRNA from 1 species
UAUUUGAGGCCCAAUUGCCAGCUGAUUAAUCUACGAAUCUUUGCAAGAGGUGCAGCAUCGCCUCCAGUUGCAACUUUUAAUAGAAGCAGGAGGACAAGCAUUGGCAUUGCCAAACGCAGAGCUUCAACAUGUCUGGCAUCACGAAUCGCAGUGGAGACAGUUGAUGACUUUCCACCCUAUUUGGUGACACACUCUAGCCUAACAGUACUGGGCAUGUCACGAAUAUAGUACUCACUCUUAAUGCCUGUUGCCCGAAUUUGUCCCACUGGCCAGAAUUGGAUUGUCUGUCAGGUACAACUGAAUAUCGUGUCAUUGAUAUUUCCAUCGUUCCUGCGCAGGAAAUCGAAUACAACCCGGUGAGAAAUGCAGCAUAUUGGAACCUGAGGCCUGUUCUUGUGAUCAGCCGGACCCUAGAGAUUGGUGAGCCUACGCUGAGCCUCUCAGAUGCGCAAGCGACAAGCCAUGUGCUGCCAAAGUACCCGUCAUCCUCCGUAGAUAAAGUGUUCAAGCCUCUGUGUUACCUCUGCAGUGACGCUUUUCGCACAGUGGUACAUCCAGUUGAAAUGGCAGCGAGGGAGAAGUAUGGAGGAGGUUGACAGCCAACAGG